GGCGAGGGGAGUGAAAAAGAACCUGAAACCGUGUACGUACAAGCAGUGGGAGCCUACUUGUUAGGUGACUGCGUACCUUUUGUAUAAUGGGUCAGCGACUUAUAUUCUGUAGCAAGGUUAACCGAAUAGGGGAGCCGAAGGGAAACCGAGUCUUAACUGGGCGUUAAGUUGCAGGGUAUAGACCCGAAACCCGGUGAUCUAGCCAUGGGCAGGUUGAAGGUUGGGUAACACUAACUGGAGGACCGAACCGACUAAUGUUGAAAAAUUAGCGGAUGACCUGUGGCUGGGGGUGAAAGGCCAAUCAAACCGGGAGAUAGCUGGUUCUCCCCGAAAGCUAUUUAGGUAGCGCCUCGUGAACUCAUCUUCGGGGGUAGAGCACUGUUUCGGCUAGGGGGCCAUCCCGGCUUACCAACCCGAUGCAAACUACGAAUACCGAAGAAUGUUAUCACGGGAGACACACGGCGGGUGCUAACGUCCGUCGUGAAGAGGGAAACAACCCAGACCGCCAGCUAAGGUCCCAAAGUCAUGGUUAAGUGGGAAACGAUGUGGGAAGGCACAGACAGCCAGGAUGUUGGCUUAGAAGCAGCCAUCAUUUAAAGAAAGCGUAAUAGCUCACUGGUCGAGUCGGCCUGCGCGGAAGAUGUAACGGGGCUAAACCAUGCACCGAAGCUGCGGCAGCGACACUAUGUGUUGUUGGGUAGGGGAGCGUUCUGUAAGCCGUUGAAGGUGGCCUGUGAGGGUUGCUGGAGGUAUCAGAAGUGCGAAUGCUGACAUAAGUAACGAUAAAGCGGGUGAAAAGCCCGCUCGCCGGAAGACCAAGGGUUCCUGUCCAACGUUAAUCGGGGCAGGGUGAGUCGACCCCUAAGGCGAGGCCGAAAGGCGUAGUCGAUGGGAAACAGGUUAAUAUUCCUGUACUUGGUGUUACUGCGAAGGGGGGACGGAGAAGGCUAUGUUAGCCGGGCGACGGUUGUCCCGGUUUAAGCAUGUAGGCGGAGGUUCCAGGUAAAUCCGGUACCUUUUAACGCUGAGGUGUGAUGACGAGGCACUACGGUGCUGAAGUAACAAAUGCCCUGCUUCCAGGAAAAGCCUCUAAGCAUCAGGUAACACGAAAUCGUACCCCAAACCGACACAGGUGGUCAGGUAGAGAAUACCAAGGCGCUUGAGAGAACUCGGGUGAAGGAACUAGGCAAAAUGGUGCCGUAACUUCGGGAGAAGGCACGCUGAUAUGUAGGUGAAGCCCCUGCGGGUGGAGCUGAAAUCAGUCGAAGAUACCAGCUGGCUGCAACUGUUUAUUAAAAACACAGCACUGUGCAAACACGAAAGUGGACGUAUACGGUGUGACGCCUGCCCGGUGCCGGAAGGUUAAUUGAUGGGGUUAGCGGUAACGCGAAGCUCUUGAUCGAAGCCCCGGUAAACGGCGGCCGUAACUAUAACGGUCCUAAGGUAGCGAAAUUCCUUGUCGGGUAAGUUCCGACCUGCACGAAUGGCGUAAUGAUGGCCAGGCUGUCUCCACCCGAGACUCAGUGAAAUUGAACUCGCUGUGAAGAUGCAGUGUACCCGCGGCAAGACGGAAAGACCCCGUGAACCUUUACUAUAGCUUGACACUGAACACUGGUCCUUGAUGUGUAGGAUAGGUGGGAGGCUUUGAAGCGUGGACGCCAGUCUGCGUGGAGCCGACCUUGAAAUACCACCCUUUAAUGGCUGGUGUUCUAACGUAGACCCGUAAUCCGGGUUGCGGACAGUGUCUGGUGGGUAGUUUGACUGGGGCGGUCUCCUCCCAAAGAGUAACGGAGGAGCACGAAGGUUAGCUAAUCCUGGUCGGACAUCAGGAGGUUAGUGCAAUGGCAUAAGCUAGCUUGACUGCGAGAGUGACGGCUCGAGCAGGUGCGAAAGCAGGUCAUAGUGAUCCGGUGGUUCUGAAUGGAAGGGCCAUCGCUCAACGGAUAAAAGGUACUCCGGGGAUAACAGGCUGAUACCGCCCAAGAGUUCAUAUCGACGGCGGUGUUUGGCACCUCGAUGUCGGCUCAUCACAUCCUGGGGCUGAAGUAGGUCCCAAGGGUAUGGCUGUUCGCCAUUUAAAGUGGUACGCGAGCUGGGUUUAGAACGUCGUGAGACAGUUCGGUCCCUAUCUGCCGUGGGCGCUGGAGAAUUGAGGGGGGCUGCUCCUAGUACGAGAGGACCGGAGUGGACGCAUCACUGGUGUUCGGGUUGUCAUGCCAAUGGCACUGCCCGGUAGCUAAAUGCGGAAGAGAUAAGUGCUGAAAGCAUCUAAGCACGAAACUUGCCCCGAGAUGAGUUCUCCCUGAGACUAUAAGUCUCCUGAAGGAACGUUGAAGACGACGACGUUGAUAGGUCGGGUGUGUAAGCGCAGCGAUGCGUUGAGCUAACCGAUACUAAUGAACCGUGAGGCUUAACCUU
rnacentral:rRNA from 1 species